UGAAUAUUUUUUUUACUGAUUUUAUUUAUUCUCAUUCGUAUCUUUCUUCCACCAAAUUCUGCUUCAAUAAUUAAUAACCCUGCUUUUGCGUGAUCUGGGAAGAGUGGGCAACAAAAGCAAGUGAACAAAUCAAAGUUGUUGGUUGAGAGCGAAAGAGAGAGAUGGAGAUGGAGGCUGAAGAAGAAGGAGCGUUCUGGGACACCGUGGCGAGGUGGUUUGGGGCGAACUUGGCGACGGCGUUCUUCUCUUCCUUGGAACGGUGUUCCUGCAUCUAUCUCUCCCCCGACGACCACGACGACGCUCUUCUCACCCUCCCUUCCCUUUCCUCUUCCACCUCUUUCACCUCUUCAAACGACGUCGUCACCUGACAACACCACACGGUAAUCCAAUAUCUCACUCAAACCCUUUCUUUCACUUUUCUGGUUCCAUCCAAUCUCAAUUUAUCAACCUGCUCUUACAUGUGCAGUCCCUACCCAUUGUAGCUACGGUGGUUGUGGCAUGUAGGUACACCAUUAUGGGAGCUGAUGGUGGUUGUGGGUACACCAAUAAGAAACUAGCUAUUAUAACAUCACCUGCUGUUACAAUUCUUGGUAUUGGCUGUGCUGAAGCUGUGGUCUAGCUUAAUAUCACUUUGUUGUGCAGAGUGCAUGUGUUUUUGGUAAGUUCGUAGGAAUGUCUUUGCUCUUGUUCAGCAGAACUUUCUUGUUCAACCCUCAUGUGUUUCUUUUUAAUUUAUUAAUUUUUUUUUGAUAAAAAAAAAAUCCAAUCUCAAUUUAUCUGUAAUAAUAAUAUAUGAAAGUUAAUAUGUUCG
rnacentral:lncRNA from 1 species